rnacentral:rRNA from 1 species
AUUGAACGCUGGCGGCAUGCCUUACACAUGCAAGUCGAACGGUAACAGGUUAAGCUGACGAGUGGCGAACGGGCGAGUAAUGUAUCGGAACGUGCCCAGUCGUGGGGGAUAACUGCUCGAAAGAGCAGCUAAUACCGCAUACGACCUGAGGGUGAAAGCGGGGGAUCGCAAGACCUCGCGCGAUUGGAGCGGCCGAUAUCAGAUUAGGUAGUUGGUGAGGUAAAGGCUCACCAAGCCGACGAUCUGUAGCUGGUCUGAGAGGACGACCAGCCACACUGGGACUGAGACACGGCCCAGACUCCUACGGGAGGCAGCAGUGGGGAAUUUUGGACAAUGGGCGCAAGCCUGAUCCAGCCAUGCCGCGUGCGGGAAGAAGGCCUUCGGGUUGUAAACCGCUUUUGUCAGGGAAGAAAAGGUUCUGGCUAAUACCUGGGACUCAUGACGGUACCUGAAGAAUAAGCACCGGCUAACUACGUG